GUGGGGAAUCUUCCGCAAUGGACGAAAGUCUGACGGAGCAACGCCGCGUGAACGAUGACGGCCUUCGGGUUGUAAAGUUCUGUUAUACGGGACGAAUGGUACGACGGCCAAUACCCGUCGUAAGUGACGGUACCGUAAGAGAAAGCCACGGCUAACUACGUGCCAGCAGCCGCGGUAAUACGUAGGUGGCAAGCGUUGUCCGGAAUUAUUGGGCGUAAAGGGCGCGCAGGCGGCGUCGUAAGUCGGUCUUAAAAGGGCGGGGCGUAACCCCGUGAGGGGACCGAAACUGCGAUGCUAGAGUAUCGGAGAGGAAAGCGGAAUUCCUAGUGUAGCGGUGAAAUGCGUAGAUAUUAGGAGGAACACCAGUGGCGAAAGCGGCUUUCUGGACGACAACUGACGCUGAGGCGCGAAAGCCAGGGGAGCAAACGGGAUUAGAAACCCUUGUAGUCC
rnacentral:rRNA from 1 species